AACGACUCUCGGCAACGGAUAUCUCGGCUCUCGCAUCGAUGAAGAACGUAGCGAAAUGCGAUACUUGGUGUGAAUUGCAGAAUCCCGUGAACCAUCGAGUCUUUGAACGCAAGUUGCGCCCGAAGCCAUUCGGUCGAGGGCACGUUUGCCUGGGUGUCACACA
rnacentral:rRNA from 1 species